UACGAGGGGUCCUAGCGUUGUUCGGAAUCAUUGGGCGUAAAGCGUGUGUAGGCGGCCUUACAAGUCCGUUGUGAAAGCCCCGGGCUCAACCCGGGAAGUGCUUCUGAUACUGUUUGGCUUGAGUACUGGAGAGGAUAGUGGAAUUCCAGGUGUAGUGGUGAAAUGCGUAGAUAUCGGGAGGAACACCAGUGGCGAAGGCGACUACCUGGCCUGUUCUUGACGCUGAGGCGCGAAAGCUAGGGGAGCAAACGGG
rnacentral:rRNA from 1 species